AUGAGUAGGGCGGGACACGUGGUAUCCUGUCUGAAUAUGGGGGGACCAUCCUCCAAGGCUAAAUACUCCUGACUGACCGAUAGUGAACCAGUACCGUGAGGGAAAGGCGAAAAGAACCCCGGCGAGGGGAGUGAAAAAGAACCUGAAACCGUGUACGUACAAGCAGUGGGAGCACAGAGCAAUCUGUGUGACUGCGUACCUUUUGUAUAAUGGGUCAGCGACUUAUAUUCUGUAGCAAGGUUAACCGAAUAGGGGAGCCGAAGGGAAACCGAGUCUUAACUGGGCGUUAAGUUGCAGGGUAUAGACCCGAAACCCGGUGAUCUAGCCAUGGGCAGGUUGAAGGUUGGGUAACACUAACUGGAGGACCGAACCGACUAAUGUUGAAAAAUUAGCGGAUGACUUGUGGCUGGGGGUGAAAGGCCAAUCAAACCGGGAGAUAGCUGGUUCUCCCCGAAAGCUAUUUAGGUAGCGCCUCGUGAAUUCAUCUCCGGGGGUAGAGCACUGUUUCGGCAAGGGGGUCAUCCCGACUUACCAACCCGAUGCAAACUGCGAAUACCGGAGAAUGUUAUCACGGGAGACACACGGCGGGUGCUAACGUCCGUCGUGAAGAGGGAAACAACCCAGACCGCCAGCUAAGGUCCCAAAGUCAUGGUUAAGUGGGA
rnacentral:rRNA from 1 species